rnacentral:rRNA from 1 species
AGAUUAAGCCAUGCAUGUAUAAGUAUAAACGACUUGAUCGUGAAACCGCGAACGGCUCAUUAUAACAGCUAUAAUUUACUUGAUCUUGACAACCUACUUGGAUAACUGUGGUAAUUCUAGAGCUAAUACAUGCACCAAAGCUCCGACCGUAAGGGAAGAGCGCAUUUAUUAGAACAAAACCAAGCGGCUUCGGCCGUCCAGUGUUGACUCAGAAUAACUAAGCUGAUCGCAUGGUCUUGUACCGGCGACGUGUCUUUCAAGUAUCUGCCUUAUCAACUUUCGAUGGUAGUGUAUCUGACUACCAUGGUGGUGACGGGUAACGGAGGAUAAGGGUUCGACUCCGGAGAAGGGGCCUGAGAAAUGGCCACUACGUCUAAGGAUGGCAGCAGGCGCGCAAAUUACCCACUCUCAGAAUGAGGAGGUAGUGACGAGAAAUAACGAGACCGUUCUCACAAGAGGCCGGUCAUCGGAAUGGGUACAAUUUAAACCCUUUAACGAGUAUCUAUGAGAGGGCAAGUCUGGUGCCAGCAGCCGCGGUAAUUCCAGCUCUCAAAAUGCAUAGAAUUAUUGCUGCGGUUAAAAAGCUCGUAGUUGGAUCUGUGCUGGCCUCCCGGUCCACCUUCGGGUGCGCACUGGUGAGGUCGGCUUUCCUGCUCGCUUCGUGCUAGUGCCCUUCACCGGGUGUUAGUUACGUGUGGGCAAGUUUACUUUGAACAAAUCAGAGUGCUUCAAACAGGCGUUUCGCUUGAAUGUUCGUGCAUGGAAUAAUAGAAGAGGAUUUCGGUUCUAUUUUAUUGGUUUUAUAGACUGAGAUAAUGGUUAACAGAGACAAACGGGGGCAUUCGUAUUGCUACGUGAGAGGUGA